GCGCGUUCCCCUCUGGAGGUUUUAACCUUCAUAAUUGGCCGGGCUUACAGUCCGGCCUUUUUUAUUGAGCAU
rnacentral:sRNA from 1 species